CUUUCAUUGCAUUUCCCACUGGAGGGGAAACGAAUCGAGCUAACGACACGGGGAACUUCGUUUUAAGCCGAUUUACUAUUAUGCACGGAUGAUUUGCUGACACGGACAAGGUUGCCAAUGCACCAGCCUCAGAUUUUACCAGGAGGGUGGAUUUUAUAUGUGCAGGGAGUUUUGCGGCUGCAUCUGACGGCCAAACUGUGCCGGGAGCUUCCUGCCUACGUAAGCACGGGGAGAUGCUCCGUGGAUCAGAGGCUGCAAUGUAAAGGAAUCUCACGGCUUAGGAUAACAUGUACUUAUACGGCCGGGGCAAUUUCCCCUGGAAUGCAGAGCGGUGGUUACAAAAGAAAUCCAAACAGCGUCGAAGACGGGGCUCGGAGCGGAUACGCGGGCAACGGCGACCUGCGUCCUCGUUAGGAAAGAGCCAUCGCACGUGCACAGGAACUCAGAGCAACAUCACACGGCAAAUCCCAGUCUAUAAUCCCUCCACGAUGGGCCCAGACAGAUGUGGAAGCCACGGAAGAGAAGCCAAGGACCCAACCGAUGUGCUUCGUGGAGCUGUCGCAGUCCCAACAACUGGCCUCGCCUGGAAAAUCUGAUUUCAUUGUGAAAGGAGUCCUUAUGAAUCAAUAGAGCAAAGAGAACGUGGGAUGUUUGCCGUAAAUCAUCCUGGAAGCAGAGACAGCUAGCAAAUGAGUUACAAGAACAAGCAGAUAAUCCCAGUCAUUUCCAGAUGGAAAGCGGAUGCAUUUUCCAUGCCCUGUAUCUGGUUCGUGUGUCACAACCCCCUGCCUCUGGUAUAUAUUUAAAGCACUUUCUUUCCCUCCUGGAGGGCGACGGUUAUGUGAAACGAGGUUCCAAAAUUGCAAAAAUUGCCUAGAAGCAUUCAAAAGCUGGGCUGGUCCCAGGGAAACUUUCACAAAGCCUUGUGCUCUCUCUAUAUAUAUCUUAUUUAGUUAGUCGAUAGAGGUGCACAUCUACCCUGCCCUCCGACUUCCUACAGCAGGCCAGUUGGCAAGCGCCGCGAUAACCUAGAGUAGAUGAUGUCCGGCUGGGAGAAGAACAUGAGUCUUCAUUGUCCUGCGCCUUUGGCCAAUGCAACGUGGUGGUAACGUGCAAGUAGAGAUGAAUGAGGAGACCACCAGCAGAGCCAGACUGGGUCCGACCUUGGUCCAUCUGUCCCAGUAUCCUAUCUCGCACAGUGGCAGGGGUGGAUGCUAUGCAGGGAGAGCAGCAUGAUCCAUCCUUUAGUCAAUACUCACCCUUUACUGGUCAAGAGAUGCCGGAGGAAACACCUCUGCCCAAGAGCCAUGAAUGCAUGGCUCCUCCAUGCACGUAUCCAGUCCCUCGCUGACCCUGGCUCUGCUCUCGGCCUCCACCCCGUCCUGCGGCAAUGAAUCCCACACGUUAACCAUGCAUUGCAUAAAAAAAAGUCCUUUCUCUUGUUCAUUUUCAACCCAUCACCUGCUCGUUUCAGCGGUGCCCCCUGGUUCUAGCAUUCGGGGAGGUGGGGAACAGCAGUUCCCUAUUCAUUUGGUCCACAGCCUUCAUGACACUAUAGACCUCUACCCUCUCCUUUCCAAGCUGGAGAGUCCCAGCCUCCCCCGGUCUGGCAGCUGCUCCAGACCCCCGAUCAUCUUGCCUGCCCUUUGCUAGUUGUACUUCAUCUUUCCAGUACUGCCCAUUGCAACCAGUCCACACCACAGCAUCUCAAGAUUUAAGGCAGGGACCCAGACGGGGCUCUGGCUCUGGGCAGAGGAGGCACGGCUGGGUGCAAUCCUGCUUGGUGUCUCCAGGCUGCCGGGUAUAGCAGCGGGCAUCUGGUUUUUUUCCAGGCUUCUGGGCUUUGCUUGCUGCUACAUGGGAUCAGGAAAGUUGCUUUUCCCCCUCCUGUUGCUGCAGGUGUUGGGGUUUUUUUCUCUCUUCCUCAGCAGUGCUGGGUGGGGAUUAAACCCUGCGGAGUCCUGGCUAAAGGCUCUUGCCCCUUUGCUCAGGUUCGGACCAAUGUUGCAUUGGUGACCGGCGGGAAUUUCCUCCCUUGUUUAAACCAGCAUGGACUGGGGGGGUUCCCCUCCCUCUGCAGGGGUGCACGAGCUCUCUGCAGCGCCCACCACCCCCCUGGCAGGAGCAGGACAUUGGCAGCCACAGCCCCCCCGUAUUCCAGGGGCAGGGGCAGGGGCGGGGGCGAU